UACGAAGGGGGCGAGCGUUGUUCGGAAUUACUGGGCGUAAAGGGCGCGCAGGCGGCUCUGAAAGUCAGAUGUGAAAGCCCCGGGCUUAACCUGGGAAUUGCAUUUGAUACUCUGGAGCUUGAGUACGGGAGAGGAGAGUGGAAUUCCCAGUGUAGAGGUGAAAUUCGUAGAUAUUGGGAAGAACACCAGUGGCGAAGGCGGCUCACUAAAGUGUGAUUGACACUGAGGCACGAAAGCGUGGGGAUCAAACAGG
rnacentral:rRNA from 1 species